rnacentral:misc_RNA from 2 species
AACGCACAUUGCGCCCCUUGGUAUUCCAUUGGGCAUGCCUGUUCGAGCGUCAUUUACACCCUCAAGCUACGCUUGGUGUUGGGCGUCUGUCCCUGCUUUACGCAAGGACUCGCCCCAAAUUUAUUGGCAGCGGCAUUGUCGGCUUCUUGCGCAGCACUUCGCGCCUUGAAGAUCCCCGGCGGGCUUGCGUCCACUAAGAACCCCCCCAGUUUGACCUCGAAUCAGGUAGGGAUACCCGCUGAACUUAA